GUCCGGGAGUCGGGCGGGCGUUUGCCUCCGCCAACUUGGUCAGGUCCGGAAGGAAGCAGCCACAACGGACAGCGACGGGUCGCUCGGC
rnacentral:SRP_RNA from 1 species